rnacentral:rRNA from 1 species
AACCCGUGGGAAGCAGGAGGGACCACCCUCCAAGGCUAAAUACUACCCGGUGACCGAUAGCGCAUAGUACCGUGAGGGAAAGGUGAAAAGAACCCCGGGAGGGGAGUGAAAUAGAACCUGAAACCCUGUACUUACAAACUGUGGAAGCACAUUUCUUGUGUGACCGCGUACUUUUUGUAGAACGGGCCAACGAGUUACGUUAUGCAGCAAGGUUAAGUACUUCAAGUAUGCAGCCACAGCGAAAGCGAG